ACUGAGAGCUCACAGCCAAUUUCAUGAGACGGUGCUACAUUAUCGUGCCUUCUUGCAUGAGGAAUUCAAGGCCACAUGCGGUUUCGUCACUUGUCAAAGAUCUUAAAACCAUUCAUCGGGAGAACUAGGAAAGGACACCUCUGGGCCUGCCUGUGAGCUGCUGCUAGAGAAGAUUAGCCGAGAACUGAGUGAAUGAGAGCCACCUUGAGAGGAGUGCCAUCUAACAGGCUGGAGGUCCGGGUGACGUGAGAAAGUAGAAAGGGGAAGCAAGCCCUGGAUUAUGAGUUUCUUCCCCAGUGGGUGUGGUUUGAUGCUGCCGAUUCAGAUGAACAUCACACUCCAGCAUCACACUCCAGCUUCUUCAGCCUUUGACAGACCUGCAGCAGUGAGAUGCAAGGACCUUGGAGGCCCUCACCCUCAGACCCAGGACAACCGUUGGCUUCUCAGUCUCUGUUCUCACAAGCAUCUUGUUCUGCGUUCCCUAGCUGACACCCAGCUCUCCAAUCUACAGAGGACUGCUGUGGCCCCACAGAGUACUCCAGACUAUUAGCUUCCUCUUGUUAUUGUAUAUAUUCCUUACCCUUAAUGGUCCCAAUACAAGGGUGAAUUAUCACUCUUCUCAGAUCUGUCACCAUCAAUCCAAUAAUGAAGAGAACCAUUUUCAUCUGAAUAAGCAAUUAACCUCCAAGUGGCAGCGUGGAACCAAGGUCUACAGUGGCUGCUGAGGUCAGACUUGAAGAAAUGACUCACAUGCAAGGCUGAUCUACAUAAGUAGCCUGUGCUAAGACUGCCAUCUGGUAGAACAAUCUACAUCACACGACUCCACGUUUCCUGUUACCCAAGCAUCUCCAUGCUCUGCAGGUGCAGCUUCGAUGGACCAUGGCCAUAUUGCCCCACUACUAUCAAUCACACUGAGAUGUAGUCCACAGCAUUCAACAAGCCACCACUCAUGGGAUAGAGGAUAGGCAAAAGGAACAACUAAGACAGUAGAGGAGCCCAGCACUCCGAACCCCUAAUCAUGCCUUCGGUGGAUUCCUUUGGUAAAGUUUUCCUUUGUGGGUUUCUUUCAGCACUUGACCCAUAGCCCAUGGAAUGUGUCAGCUCUAAUUGCCUGUGUGGAUUGGCACAAGUCGUGCCUCAAAAUUGGAAUGUUGUCACAUAUAACAUAGCCUUUCAGAGGGAUAAAUGUGGAAAAUGUUUUACCCAUGAAUUCCUUAGAAGCAAUUGUGCUCUAUCACGUGAAAGGCUGAAGACCUGGACAGAACCUAAUGACUAUAUCCCCAAGAUCCCCAAGGUUCAGUGGCUUUCAGGAUGUUGCUCUCCCUGACUCCAUGGACAUCACAGAAUGACAGUUGUCCACUGGAGUAUUCUUCACCCAGGCAGCUUUCUAAAAAAAGGAAAUUUGAGAGUUGCAAGGACAGAUGAAGGGGCUGAGGGCCUGGGAUCCCUUUAUGUGAGACUCAUUAUUGAAGAACAACUUAUACAAUUAUUAUCUGAGGACCAGGUGACAGCUGUCAAGAAGGCCUCCUUGUAAGAGGGUGCAGAAUAUAUGAAAUUUGUCUUUAGGUGAUGAUCUACUACUAAGAGUGAUGCUAUGAGGUUGGCAUCUAAGGAAAAGAAAAGAGGCUGGCAUAUGGUGAGCACCUAGUCUGUGCCAUGAAUUGUGAACUUAACCUUGAAUUCUCGUAUGUUCAUCUAAGGUCUGUUUUCUUUAAGGAGAGAUUGUGACCCUCUUGGUCUGGUAUGCAAGCUGUGAUGAAUACAGAGCUCUUCAGAUGGA